CGGGGUGUAGCUCAGCCUGGCUAGAGCGCUGCGUUUGGGACGCAGAAGCCGCAGGUUCAAAUCCUGUCACCCCGA
rnacentral:tRNA from 1 species